UGCAGUCGANCGAGGUGUUUUGUUUUCGAAUGGAGCACCUAGUGGCGAAAGGGUGAGUAACGCGUGAGUAACCUGCCCCAAGGUCGGGGAUAGCCCGGGGAAACUCGGAUUAAUACCGGAUGUGGCGCACCGUUGAUGACGGUGUUGCUAAAGAUUCAUCGCCUUGGGAUGGGCUCGCGUCCGAUUAGCUUGUUGGUGGGGUAACGGCCUACCAAGGCAGCGACCGGUAGCUGGUCUGAGAGGAUGGUCAGCCACACUGGGACUGAGACACUGCCCAGACUCCUACGGGAGGCUGCAGUCGAGAAUCUUCCGCAAUGCGCGAAAGCGUGACGGAGCGAUGCCGCGUGGAGGACGAAGGCCUUCGGGUCGUAAACUCCUGUCACCCGGGAUGAAGAUCUGACAGUACCGGGAGAGGAAGCCACGGCUAACUACGUGCCAGCAGCCGCGGUAAUACGUAGGUGGCGAGCGUUAUUCGGAUUUAUUGGGCGUAAAGGGUCCGUAGGGGGUUUGGUUAGUCUGAUGUGAAAGCCCGCGGCUCAACCGCGGAACUGCAUUGGAUACUGCCGGACUUGAGGGCAGGAGAGGAGAGUGGAAUUCCCGGUGUAGCGGUGGAAUGCGUAGAUAUCGGGAGGAACACCAACAGCGAANGCAGCUCUCUGGACUGCACCUGANCCUGAUGGACGAAAGCUAGGGGAGCGAACAGGAUUAGAUACCCUGGUAGUCCUAGCCGUAAACGUUGUGCACUCGGUGUGGGGGGGGGUUGGUCCCCUCCGUGCCCAAGCUAACGCGUUAAGUGCACCGCCUGGGGNAGUA
rnacentral:rRNA from 1 species